UAUUAUAUUUAGUGUUAGAAAGUUACUGGGGUAGUAUUAAUUUUUUUUUUGAAACUCAAAGAAUUUGGCGGUGUUUUAGUCCUUUUAGAGGAAUCUGGUUCUAUAAUUGAUAAUACACGAUUUGUUUUACUUGAAAUAGUUAUCAGCUUGUAUACCGCCGUCAUAAGAAUAUUUUGAUUGGAGAAUUUAAUUUUCUUGUAUUUUUAUUAAAAUGUAUGUCAGGUCAAGGUGCAGUUUAUGUUUAAGGUGGAAAUGGAUUACAAUAAUAAUAUUUAUUACGGAUAAUAAUUUUAAAUUGGUUUAAAGGUGGAUUUAAUUGUAAAUUUAUUUUUGAUAUUUAUUUUGAUAAGGGCUCUGAAAUGUGUACAUAUCGCCCGUCGCUCUCAUUAGAAGAUGAG
rnacentral:rRNA from 1 species